rnacentral:rRNA from 1 species
GAGCUUGCUCUCGGGUGACGAGUGGCGGACGGGUGAGUAAUGUCUGGGAAACUGCCUGAUGGAGGGGGAUAACUACUGGAAACGGUAGCUAAUACCGCAUAACGUCGCAAGACCAAAGAGGGGGACCUUCGGGCCUCUUGCCAUCAGAUGUGCCCAGAUGGGAUUAGCUAGUAGGUGGGGUAACGGCUCACCUAGGCGACGAUCCCUAGCUGGUCUGAGAGGAUGACCAGCCACACUGGAACUGAGACACGGUCCAGACUCCUACGGGAGGCAGCAGUGGGGAAUAUUGCACAAUGGGCGCAAGCCUGAUGCAGCCAUGCCGCGUGUAUGAAGAAGGCCUUCGGGUUGUAAAGUACUUUCAGCGGGGAGGAAGGUGUUGUGGUUAAUAACCGCAGCAAUUGACGUUACCCGCAGAAGAAGCACCGGCUAACUCCGUGCCAGCAGCCGCGGUAAUACGGAGGGUGCAAGCGUUAAUCGGAAUUACUGGGCGUAAAGCGCACGCAGGCGGUCUGUCAAGUCGGAUGUGAAAUCCCCGGGCUCAACCUGGGAACUGCAUUCGAAACUGGCAGGCUAGAGUCUUGUAGAGGGGGGUAGAAUUCCAGGUGUAGCGGUGAAAUGCGUAGAGAUCUGGAGGAAUACCGGUGGCGAAGGCGGCCCCCUGGACAAAGACUGACGCUCAGGUGCGAAA